rnacentral:rRNA from 1 species
GCUGGCGGCAUGCCUAACACAUGCAAGUCGAACGGAAACAGGACGCUGUGAUCCCUUCGGGGUGAACUUGUCGCUGUCGAGUGGCGGACGGGUGAGUAAUGCAUAGGAAUUUGCCUCAAAGUGGGGGAUAGCCCGGAGAAAUCCGGAUUAAUACCGCAUGUGCUCUACGGAGGAAAGCGGGCCUCUGAUUUAAGCUCGCGCUUUGAGAUAAGCCUAUGUCGGAUUAGCUAGUUGGUAGGGUAACUGCCUACCAAGGCGACGAUCCGUAGCUGGUUUGAGAGGAUGAUCAGCCACACUGGGACUGAGACACGGCCCAGACUUCUACGGGAGGCAGCAGUGGGGAAUAUUGGACAAUGGGCGCAAGCCUGAUCCAGCAAUGCCGCGUGUGUGAAGAAGGCCUGCGGGUUGUAAAGCACUUUUAUCGGGAAAGAAAAGCUUAGGGUUAAUACCCCUUGAGCCUUGACGGUACCCGAAGAAUAAGCACCGGCUAACUUCGUG